UCCCUUCCAUUCUCUCUAGAAAUCAAUCGAAAAAUAUCCUCACUCCUCGUGUGAGGAUAAAAAUAAAACAAGUGGCAACACUGUACAGUGCUUAUUAACUCAUUCGAUCUUUGCAAAUUGCAUUGUUAUCCACGCCUCACAGGGAAACUAAGGCACCGGAGGUGGUUGGAAUGACAUGCCCAAGGUCACAUAGCUGUAAGUGGCAGAGCUGGGACUUGAACUCAGGCAGUACAAGAACGGAAGGCUCUUCCUCUCCCCAUCAUGCUAUGAUGCCUGCCUCUGCUUAGUUGUGAUGCAGUUGGCUUGAAGUAAGGACUAGCACUCUGUGCCUAACCACUGCGUCUAUUGGAAGGAAAGUUCCUGGGGCUGCUGCUGACACAGUUAUCCUUUAUGAAGACCCCUGAGGAGGAACUUUUGCUCCUUGCAACCACAAACUGCAUUUCUGCUGAGCUUUGCUUUCAUCUUACGUGCUGUCUGAAUUAUGUCAGUGACCGGGUAGGGUUCCUCUUUCACAUUCGGUGGUGAAAAGCUUCAUGCCAAAUUUGGGUUCUACCAGAAGCAGCUGUAGCGUAGGUCAUCAUGGUGAUUUAUGAGAACCUCAUUCCUCGUUUAUUUUAUAUCGUCAUCUUUCGUUUUGUUUUCUUAUUCUAAAUGUUCACUUUCAUUUAUGCUGUUCUGUAUUUCUUCAGCCCCCUUAGAUUAGACAGUUAUUAGUACGAAUUGCUGGGAUGACCACAACGAUACCUAUCAAGGUCUGGGCGCUGGCAGCAGGAGAUACAUUGACCUUUUGCAAUUGGAAAUGGUACCUUAUUGCCUUCCAUUCAAAAUGCAAUUAUGGUUUCUGGCAUACCUGCCAUUGUCAGUUUACCUUAUUUAUGUCUCUCUUUGUUCCAGACAGGAUUAAGUUCAGCUGAAUCAGCAGGUAUUACUCUAAACUCUGGAAAUCAAAUGUCUUGGGUUUUUCUGACAUUCUGAUGAGUCACUUGAGUGAAGCCUGAUCUAUGAACAUAAACAAGUUCCUAUAAUAGAAUUGUGGAGAUGGAGGGGCAUUAGAACUUACCGAGGGAGGGGGAAAGGCGGCCUCACUAUUAAGAAAAGGGCAGAACAGCUAUGUGAACCCAGACAUGGUCUGUCACCUCACCUCUGCUGCACUGCCCACUACUCACAGGUCUCCCCGCCCACCCAGGGGUUAUGCUAAAUGUCAUUUUAAAGUACAAAUGGCUUGUGUUAGAGACAUGAAAAUAUACUUUCUUGCCAUUGUGUUCUGUGGACUUUAAUGGUUAACCAAAGCACUGACCUGUUCCUUAAGCUGAUACUGUCCUAAACCACAAUGCCUCUUUCUAAGUCUAAUCUCCAUUUGUUUGUGAACAGGAAGAUCACUACAAACCUAUCAUCUUCCCUUGAUAAACAUUAAAAAACAUUUUUUUGUUUUUAAUCCUCACCCGAGGAUAUUUCCCCCCAUUGAUUUUUAGAGAGAGGGGAAGGGACGGGGAGAGACAGAGAAACAUCGAUGUGAGAGAGACAUAUCGAUUGGUUUCUCCUGCACCUGCCCCACUGGGGCCAGGGAUCGAGCCUGCAACCAGGUAAGUGCCCUUGAGCAGAAUCAAACCUGUGACCCUUCAGUCCAAGAGCCGACACCCUAACUACUGACCCAAACCGGCGAGGGUGACAAACAUUUUAAGUGAGAAAUCUUUUCACUUCUCAAAAAAAAAAAAAAAAUCCACAUUGAAUAACACACUUCCCCGAGAAAGCACCCGACACUGGGAAUGCUGAGAGGGAGCUAAGCAGAAGGUGCGCGAGUUCCCCUAGCAGGUGAGGUGUGACCACCUCUUCACCGCUCAGGCACUACCUUUCUGAUUAGAACGAGGAUUUCUUCAAUCCCAGUGUCUGCUGCAGACCUCUAAUUCACGUUAGGACCCUAGGUCCCGUCUAUAGGGCCCUUGGUGAACGUAAGCCCUGGGUUAGGACAUGCCUGGUGCUCGGGUGUGUCAGAGGUGUCUGUGGUGUUCAUUGAGUUUCUCAGUAUUCCCUGGGGGUCCUUUUUCACAUCUUGGGAAGCGUUUGUGAAAGGAAAUGAGAAAUGUGGAGUAUCGGAGAAUGACCCACACUCAGGGCGACGCUGUCACUGUAUCCGCUUAGGAAUCUCUCACUGAGGAGCAUUCAAUAGGUUGUUCUCCCCUAGUACCCCCUCAAUUUUGAUUUGUUUAUUAUUUUUUCAUGUCCAAAUUAGUCUAAGGAUCAAUUUAAUAAUAAACUCUGACCCAGAGUACUUUCAACUGGAAAUACGCAACUGUAAAUCUCCUGAGAUUUAUUUUUAAAUGGGUAAUUUUAUUUGCUGGAACCAUUUCAAAUAAAUGUGUGUAUAUAUUAUCUUAUGAUUAUAUUUCAGAAAAUUCAAAUUAUUUUACAGUGUCCAUUUAUGUUCUUUUAAAAUUGUAUGAUAUGCCUUCUGCACACAUACCGAGUGCUUAUGUGUUUUUGUAUGUGUCAUUAAACGAAAUGCCUUCUGGAGGUUCAAGAAGAGUCACUAACCUAAUUCUCUUGAAUCCUCAUGCUGUAAGUUGCAAGUACGUAGAAGGGAGGCAUUGUAGAGUUAGUUAUUUCUUCCUAUAAUGGGCUAUGAGGUUAUUUUCUGUCGCAAUAAAAUUAAUAUUCCCUCUCUUUGGGGAUUAAUUUCCAAAUUCGAAGACUCUGGGUCAGAGUUAGCUGGACUGUUUCACUGAAAUUUCAGCCCCUAAGAAACAAAAAUAGGGUUUGAAGUAGUUUCUAGGUCACUGGCACAGAAAUCUGGCAAAAUGCUGUCGCUGCCUUUGGAUAGUCCUAGUCAGUACAAUUCCAUCAGCACAGGCUGUUCUUUUGGCCUGUGAUUCAAACGUAGGAGAAAAUAUAAUAUGGGGGUCCCCAAAUUUGCUCUAUAGUUUUCAGGUGUGGGUGAUUCUUAUUUUAGUAAAUCCCCUGACUUCAGGGAGGGAAGACACAUGUAAUCAGAUAUAAGUUCUAUAUUUCACCUCCCUGAGCUGUUGACAGUUUUUGUUAUUUUCAUUUAAAUUUCAUUUUUGGGUCAGAAUACUGAAAAGUGUGCAGACUUGGAGUGAAUAGAUCCGUGCUCUACUUAACGUGGACCGACCGUGGUAAAGUAAUUUAAGCUUUCAGAACCUCUGUUUUGAAAUAAGUACCCACCUCCUAGACUUAUAAGGAAUAAAACUAACUUACCUGAGUGCUGUGUGCAUCGUGUGCCUGGCCCUGUACGGGCUGAUGCUGUCAUUAUCCCCAUAAAGAAAACAAGGCUUGAACAGUAAGUCCGCUUCCCGAGGGUGGGGAGUAGACCAGACCAAGAGCCAGCCCGGCUGUGGCGAUGCUGUGGGCAGCCCGAGACACCCUGCCUCCCCCGCUGAGUCACCGCCUCUGAAAGUGCCUGGUACCUUACAGUGGCUCCGUAGAGGAAGGGAGAGGCAGAGAGAGAUAGAAACAUCAAUGAUGAGAAUCACUGAUUGGCUGCCUUCUGCACACCCUACACUGGGGAUCAAGCCUGCAACCCGGGUAUGUGGCCCGACUGGGAAUCGAACCAUGACCUCCUGGUUCAUAGGUCGAUGUUCAACCACUGAGCCAUGCUGGCUGGGCCAGAAGUGUUUUCAUGCCUGCGCUUAGAAAUCCACUGUGCUUCCCAUGAUCUUUAACAGGAAAAAAACAAGUUGUAACAGAAUCGACACCGUGCUUCCGAGGGAUGCGAUUAGAUGACCCACCUCCAGCCCCUGAGGGGAAGUACUUGGCCUUCCUACCUCACCACGUACCAGGUUCACAAGAAAACAAAAUGAACAAGGCACACCGCUCACAGACCCCUCUGUUUGUGAGUGGGAGCAGAAUGGCUCGGUGGCUAAACACACGGGCCUGGGCAUCAGACAGACCUGGCUUUGGAACUCAAGCCUACAAUCAUCGUGAAGCGGCCUGGGUACCCACCACCGGCCCUGGCCUCAGCGCAGGGCCUGGUAACUCUCAAUUAUUAGCAUAAUGAUAUGAUUACUUCCCCUGUGGGCCAACCACCGUCUUGAAUGGUGACAGCCUUCCCACCCCCCCAC